ACAUUUGGCGCCAUCUGUCAGAUUAUAAUAAACACUACGAGAACUAGUAGAAAAGCAAUAAAACUAAUUGUUAUGUAUACAUUUAUUUUUCUCUUUUAAAAUAAAUAAAUGUGAAGUCGUCAGCAGAAAUGCUUUCAAAUGAGGUCGACGUUUUAUGACGCUAAACGUGUUUUUGUGUGACGUUAAAUAACUGCACUUGAUUAGUUGAAAUUCAUUCAGGUGAACUGAAACAUAUAUAACUUGUGAUCUUGGUAACUAGUUCAGACGAAAAAGGCACUGACCCCUCGCGAAGUUAUCGCUUAUAAUGUAAACAACGUUUUUAAAGUUUGUUGAGUGUAACAAUUGCUUUGUUGUUGAAAUUGAAAUACUCAUUGGGGUUAAACGAGCGUAGAGUAACAAUACGAUGUUGAAAUUUACUGUCAAAGUUGGAUAGAUUUGCGCUGAUUAACAAUGGAACAAACUGCUAUUGAUUGACAUGGAGGAUUUCUAAAUUAAGGAGUUGAUAUUCCGCAUCAGGUGAACAGAUACUUCAUGAAUUAUAUGAAUCACCAGGGAAAGGACCCAACUACUUGCACAGAUGCAUCCUGGCGGGUGAAAGAAGGGAUGAUCACUUUGGCAACAGAUUGUUCAACUGCUUAAAUGUUGAUGUGGAC